rnacentral:rRNA from 1 species
UGGGGAAUAUUGCACAAUGGGGGGAACCCUGAUGCAGCCAUGCCGCGUGAAUGAAGAAGGCCUUCGGGUUGUAAAGUUCUUUCGGUGACGAGGAAGGUUGAUAGGUUAAUAGCCUAUCAAAUUGACGUUAAUCACAGAAGAAGCACCGGCUAACUCCGUGCCAGCAGCCGCGGUAAUACGGGGGGUGCGAGCGUUAAUCGGAAUAACUGGGCGUAAAGGGCACGCAGGCGGUGACUUAAGUGAGAUGUGAAAGCCCCGAGCUUAACUUGGGAAUUGCAUUUCAUACUGGGUCGCUAGAGUACUUUAGGGAGGGGUAGAAUUCCACGUGUAGCGGUGAAAUGCGUAGAGAUGUGGAGGAAUACCGAAGGCGAAGGCAGCCCCUUGGGAAUGUACUGACGCUCAUGUGCGAAAGCGUGGGGAGCAAACAGG